UACGUAGGGUGCAAGCGUUGUCCGGAAUUAUUGGGCGUAAAGAGCUCGUAGGCGGUUUGUCGCGUCGAAUGUGAAAACCCAGGGCUUAACCCUGGGCUUGCAGUGGAUACGGGUAGACUAGAGGCAGGUAGGGGAGAAUGGAAUUCCCGGUGUAGCGGUGAAAUGCGCAGAUAUCGGGAGGAACACCGGUGGCGAAGGCGGUUCUCUGGGCCUGACCUGACGCUGAGGAGCGAAAGCGUGGGGAGCGAACAGG
rnacentral:rRNA from 1 species